rnacentral:lncRNA from 1 species
UUAAUUAAAAAUAAGAAAGCCCAAUUUAAUUAAUAGGAGGCAGCCCACAAUUUUAAAUAAUUGAAGGUCCAACAUUCUUUUUAAUAAACUGAGCCCAAUUGAAAAUUAAUGGCCCAAACUGAAACAAAAAUAAACAAAAACUCGGCCCAAUACUCGGCCCAAUACUCAAACCUAGCCUAGCCCAAAACUCCCUCCCUUCUUCUCCCCCCAUCAGCCGCACACACACUCACAACUGCAGAUAUCACUCCCUCUCUCCCAAGACUCCG